rnacentral:rRNA from 1 species
UACGAAGGGGGCUAGCGUUGCUCGGAAUCACUGGGCGUAAAGCGCACGUAGGCGGAUCUUUAAGUCAGGGGUGAAAUCCCAAGGCUCAACCUUGGAACUGCCUUUGAUACUGGGGAUCUCGAGUCCGGAAGAGGUUGGUGGAACUCCGAGUGUAGAGGUGAAAUUCGUAGAUAUUCGGAAGAACACCAGUGGCGAAGGCGGCCAACUGGUCCGGUAC